rnacentral:rRNA from 1 species
UGGGGAAUUUUGGACAAUGGGCGCAAGCCUGAUCCAGCAAUGCCGCGUGUGUGAAGAAGGCCUUCGGGUUGUAAAGCACUUUUGUCCGGAAAGAAAACCUCGUGGCUAAUACCCUUGGGGGAUGACGGUACCGGAAGAAUAAGCACCGGCUAACUACGUGCCAGCAGCCGCGGUAAUACGUAGGGUGCAAGCGUUAAUCGGAAUUACUGGGCGUAAAGCGUGCGCAGGCGGUUCUGUAAGACCGAUGUGAAAUCCCCGGGCUUAACCUGGGAACUGCAUUGGUGACUGGAGGGCUGGAGUAUGGCAGAGGGGGGUGGAAUUCCACGUGUAGCAGUGAAAUGCGUAGAGAUGUGGAGGAAUACCGAUGGCGAAGGCAGCACCCUGGGCAAAUACUGACGCUCAUGCACGAAAGCGUGGGGAGCAAACAGG